UACGUAGGGGGCAAGCGUUGUCCGGAUUUACUGGGCGUAAAGCGCGCGUAGGCGGAACGAUCAGUCCGGUCUGAAAGCCCCCGGCUCAACCGGGGAGGGUGGCUGGAAACUGUCGUUCUUGAGGGCGAGAGAGGAGGGUGGAAUUCCUGGUGUAGCGGUGAAAUGCGUAGAGAUCAGGAGGAACACCAGUGGCGAAGGCGGGUCUCUGGACAGUUCCUGACGCUGAGGCACGAAGGUCAGGGGAGCAAACGGG
rnacentral:rRNA from 1 species